UGAAGUAUAUUUUAACUGUGUGCUGAAAAUGAGCAUUGUAUCAAUGCACUGAAAGUAUAUUUAAAAAAUACAUUAUUAAAUAUCCUGAAGUUGUAGUGUAUUUAAAGUUAAAUUUGAGUAUAUUUUUUAAGUUUACAUCCUUGGAAUUCAUUUUAUUAGUGCUUAUUUAUUUCAGUAUGACUAAUGCAUUACAAGCCCAUUUUUUAUAUGCAGUGUAGCCUACAAUUUCCAAAUAUGUGUAAAUAUGUUUAAUAAGUUUACAGUGGCAGAAUCAUUUUACAAUCAUACACACAAAUAUAUAGAACAGCACACCAGCAGCACAAGUAACGUUACAUGCGAAAAAAAUAUGUUGAGUGUGUGCAAAAGGCCCGGAUGCUUUAAAUGUCCCAUAUAAUCCUGACCAAUCACAGCGCACAAUGUUACCAUUGCGUCACGUGUGCUGAAGCGGAACCGUGUUGGAAAUAGAGAAGAGUCAGCGCAUGUUAGAGUCUAAAGUUUGUCAUCGUCAUUAUAGUUCAUCCAUCGAUGCUUUAUUGCUGUGCAGUUUAAGACUGUAUUGAGUUGCUGUGUGCGUACAUAUCACGUAAGUGAAUAUUGUCCACAUAUUUCCCGUUAUAACUGAGAAAUGCAUAGUUUAAUUUCCAGUCUAAACAGUAGCCAAUUAGCAUCAUUCUGCCUGUAUUCAUCUUUCUGUUCAGUGUAUUUUGGAGGUUUUCUAUGUGAUAUUUUAUGUUAGAUGUUUAUGUAUUGCACACUGUGUUAUUAUUGGAUGCACGUGAUUUGGAGAUUAUUAUUAUGACGCAGCGAUAAGCGGCUUAUAGCAUGCUUGUGGCAUGCCCAGUUAAAUGGCAUUCACGUGCUACUAGCGAUGUUCAGUAUAGUUACUGUGGGGGAAAUUUUGAGUUUCUGUAUAAUUUCCAUAUGAUUUUACUUAUAUGCUUAUGGUUAAAUGAUUUUGUUAUUCUCAGAAGUGUUUAAGUAUGCAUUCUUUGGGUGACAAGUGGAAAACACUGAAGUGGUAAACAUGUUCCUAAUAUGGUAAAAGGACAGAGGCUUCAGCCUUGGAGGUCAGAGAUAUAAAAGUGAGGGGAAGCUUUCGUUCUUUGUCUUACACUCUGCAGCUACUUGUGAGCCUGUAUGACUGUCUGACCUUUCUUGCAAGAAAUAAAACCUUUAAAGACAA